ACCUGGUUGGCUCAGUCGGAAGAGCAUGCAACUCUUAAUCUCAGGAUCGUGAGUUCAAGCCUCACAUUGGGUA